ACGUCAUGACACUGGGACAAUGGCACUUGGAUGUCGUGACACCAGGACGUGGGGACAGGGGGACGUCGUGGCACCGGGACAUCGUGACACUGGGACAAUGGCACUGGGACAUCGUGACACCGGGACGUCGUGACACCGGGACAUCGUGACACCGGGACGUCGUGACACUGGGACAAUGGCACCGGGAUGUCGUGACACCGGGAUAUCGUGACACCGGGACAAUGGCACUUGGAUGUCGUGACACCGCGACGUGGGGACAGGGGGACGUUGUGGCACCGGGAGGUCGUGGCACCGGGACGAUGGCACCGGGACGUUGUGGCACCGGGACGUCGUGACACCGGGACGUCGUGACACCGGGACAAUGGCACCGGGACGUCGUGACACCGGGACAAUGGCACUUGGAUGUCGUGACACCGGGACGUGGGGACAGGGGGACGUCGUGGCACCGGGACGUCGUGACACUGGGACAAUGGCACUGGGACGUCGUGACACCAGGACGUGGGGACAGGGGGACAUCGUGACACCGGGACAAUGGCACUGGGAUGUCGUGACACCAGGAUAUCGUGACACCGGGACAGUGGCACUGGGACACCGGGACAUCGUGACACCGGGACGUCGUGACACCGGGACAGUGGCACUGGGAUGUCACGGUCCCGGGAUAUGGUGACACUGGGAUAUCGGGACAAUGGCACUGGGACCCUGGGACAUCGUGACACCGGGACGUCGUGACACCAGGACAGUGGCAUUGGGACAUUGUGACACCAGGGCAGUGGCACUGGGACACCGGGACAUCAUGACACCGGGACGUCGUGACACCGGGACGUCGUGACACCGGGACAUCAUCACCGUAGGCACCGUCACCGCCUGCCGCCCCCGGGGGGGCCGGGGGACACGGGGACGUCGGCAGCGGGACGUGGGGACACGGGGACGUCGUGACACCGGGAGGCGGUGGCGUUGUCACCGAGGGGGGGGGGGUGGCACCUGGCACCGUGCCCGACUGUCCCCGUGCCACCGCCGCGGUGUCACCGUCACCCUGACGCCCCCCCACCCCGUGGUGACAUCACCCGGCCCCAAAUCCCGCGGUUUUUGCCCCAUUUUGGGGGGGGGGGUGUCUCUGUGAGGUGACGCUGAAUAAAGCCCCCGGGGGGGGCGCGGGUGGCA
rnacentral:lncRNA from 1 species